rnacentral:rRNA from 1 species
GUGGACAACCUGCCUCAAGGCUGGGGAUAACAUUUGGAAACAGAUGCUAAUACCGAAUAAAACUUAGUGUCGCAUGACACAAAGUUAAAAGGCGCUUCGGCGUCACCUAGAGAUGGAUCCGCGGUGCAUUUAGUUAGUUGGUGGGGUAAAGGCCUACCCAAGACAAUGAUGCCAUAGCCUGAGUUGAGAGACUGAUUCGGCCACAUUGGGAUCUGAGACACGGCCCAAACUCCUACUGGGAAGGCUGGCAGUAGGGAAUCUUCCACAAUGGGCGAAAAGCCUGAUGGAGCAACGCCGCGUGUGUGAUGAAGGACUUUCGGGUCGUAAAGCACUGUUGUAAUGGGAAGAACAGCUAGAAUAGGAAAUGAUUUUAGUUUGACGGUACCAUACCAGACAAGGGACGGCUAAAUACGUGCCAGCAGCCCGCGGUAAUACGUAUGUCCCGAGCGUUAUCCGGAUUUAUUGGGCGUAAAGCGAGCGCAGACGGUUUAUUAAGUCUGAUGUGAAAGCCCGGAGCUCAACUCCGGAAUGGCAUUGGAAACUGGUUAACUUGAGUGCAGUAGAGGUAAGUGGAACUCCAUGUGUAGCGGUGGAAUGCGUAGAUAUAUGGAAGAACACCAGUGGCGAAGGCGGCUUACUGGACUGCAACUGACGUUGAGGCUCGAAAGUGUGGGUAGCAAACAGGAUUAGAUACCCUGGUAGUCCACACCGUAAACGAUGAACACUAGGUGUUAGGAGGUUUCCGCCUCUUAGUGCCGAAGCUAACGCAUUAAGUGUUCCGCCUGGGGAGUACGACCGCAAGGUUGAAACUCAAAGGAAUUGACGGGGACCCGCACAAGCGGUGGAGCAUGUGGGUUUAAUUUCGAAGCAACGCGAAGAACCUUACCAGGUCUUGACAUCCUUUGAAGCUUUUAGAGAUAGAAGUGUUCUCUUCGGAGACAAAGUGACAGGUGGUGCAUGGUCGUCGUCAGCUCGUGUCGUGAGAUGUUGGKUUAAGUCCYGCAACGAGCGCAACCCUUAUUGUUAGUUGCCAGCAUUUCAGAUGGGCACUUCUUAGCGAGACUGCCGGUGACAAACCGGAGGAAGGCCGGGGACGACGUCAGAUCAUCAUGCCCCUUAUUGACCUGGGCUACACCACGUGGCUACAAUGGGCGUAUACCAACCGAAGUGUGGCUCACCACUCCUGCGCAGGAGGUGGAGCUAAUCUCUUAAAGUACGUCUCAGUUCGGAUUGUAGUCUGCAACUCGACUACAUGAAGUCGGAAUCGCUAGUAAUCGCGGAUCAGCACGCCGCGGUGAAUACG